GACGUAGGGCGCGAGCGUUGUCCGGAUUUAUUGGGCGUAAAGAGCUCGUAGGCGGCUUGUCGCGUCGACUGUGAAAACUUGGGGCUCAACCCCAAGCUUGCAGUCGAUACGGGCAGACUGGAGGUAUGCAGGGGAGAACGGAAUUCCUGGUGUAGCGGUGAAAUGCGCAGAUAUCAGGAGGAACACCGGUGGCGAAGGCGGUUCUCUGGGCAUGUCCUGACGCUGAGGAGCGAAAGUGUGGGGAGCGAACAGG
rnacentral:rRNA from 1 species